UAGAUAUUGAAAGUGCCUGGAUCUCCCAUUAUCCAAUUGUGAAUUGAAUGGGUAAAAAAGCAUGCACCUUAUUACACCCUAAAAGCGGAAGAAAACGAAAUCCUCGUGAACCUUACUUGAUUUAAGGGCCACUGGAUAAGCCAGAGCUCGGUUGAGUCUGCUGAGUUGAGAUUAAUAAGUGAAUCCUUUUUGACCUCCUCAAAUUCUGGGGCAGGUUUGUAGCUAAGUUCUUUCGGAGGAUCCAUAAUAAUGAAAUAUAAUCAAUAAGAGCGUUUGUUCUCGAAGAUUGCAGACCAAGCACCUCCUUAACCACAGGCCUACACAGAAAGGCAAAAUCAGUAAUUCAACAUAAGAUAGCUCAAAAUUGGAAAAUAAUUGGAAAAGGUAAUAGAUCUUUGACCAUAUCAAUACAUUAAACAAUCCAAUCAUAAACUUACUAAGACUAUCAAAACUGCAUCGGGUUAAAUUUAAAAGAGUUGCACAGGCACAAGCCUAUCGGAUGCUCCAAUCAGUUGAACUUCGAAACACGAACUUCUACUGAUUAAUUUUUGAAUAGUGGACGACGGCAAUCCCCAGUGGUGGAUGUAGCUACCAAUCUAAAGGUUCAACGGAACCCAGUAAUUUUUAUACGGAGUUCAGCUAUAUAUAUGUAAAAAAUCUUUAUCAUUUCCAUUAAUAUCACGUUUUGAACCCAUAAAUUUUAAAAGUGCAAUGGGUUUAUUUAUAAGACCAUAAGGACAGCCUAUCAAGAUAAAAUCCUGAAAUCCGCCUCUGGUAAUCACAGUAACCUACGCCCCAGGCUACUUUGCAGUUUCUGUCUGAUUAACUAAGUUCAGUUUCCUUGACUCACUGAGGUAAUCCUUGUUAAAUUCAUUGUAUGGUUUGGUUUGUUCAUCUUUUCUAUUUACCUUAAUAUGAUUCUUGUUCUUAAUAACAGGAUAGUGAAAUAAAUCAUCACCCAAAUAGAGGUAUUGCCAAUGACUUGUUACCCUAUUCACAUACUGUUUCUUUCCCCCCAAAAGCUGUCCUCUCAUUCAUAGAUAGAAACGAUAAAACUAGCACAUCAAACGAGUCCUCAGUCCAGUAAAGCAGCCACUACAAUUUAGAAGCAAUGCUUUUCUAUUAUAUAUGCUUAAGCAGACACUAAAAUGCUUUUGGAGCAACAUACUUAUGGUUCCCCUUUGUACACUAUUGUGUGUGUGUGUGUAUAUAUAUAUAUAUAUAUAUAUAUAUAUAUAUUAGAGAGAGAGAGAGAGAAAGAGAGAGAGAGAGAGAGAGAGAGGAAUACAGAUUACCUGCGCCGGAGAUUGGAGAGCGACUAGGCGGCGGAGCGAGGCAAGGUCGGCUCUAGGUAAGGCAAGCGAAGCUCUUGACUUAGGCCCCAAAUAUUUAAGCACCCCAAAAACAUAAUCUCUGUUUUCCAAUUUAUGGAACCUAUUUAAUUGUACACGGAUUUUUAUUUUUAUUUUUUAAAUAGAUUUUUAAAUUUGUGAUAUAUAAAAUGAGGCAAUAUAUAUUUUGUGUAUCUAUAGAUCAUUAGAUAAAAAUAAAUUAUUUCAAAAUAAGGAAAGAAAUUUUUUCUUGGCACGGAUUAUAAAGUAAAUAAGUUUACAUAAAUUAAAACAAAGGGAGUAUAAUUUAUAAUUAAACAUAAGUUAAUAAAAAAUUAAUUUUUUUUUAAAUUUGAUAGAGAUAGGUCUGAAUGAGUUGCUCUUUUCCGGUCCACUUUAAUUUUGUCUGUUGUUAUUUUAACACAUAUUAAGAAAUUUAUCUUUUAAUAUUAAUUAAUAAUAAAAUUGAUUAUAUUAAUCUUCAUUAUCUCUUCAUAUUUUUUUUAUAUUUUAUUUUAUAUUUAAUUUGGAAUGUGAUGAUUAGCAACUCUCAGAACUCAAAGCAACCGGCAGAACUCAUUGAAAACUUUGUGAGCAUCAAGGACUAUUUUAAAAUUUCAGCAAUAAAUCUCAAUUUAGCAUGUAAUUUCAAUUUUAAAUUGUUAACGAACUACAAAAUGGAGCCAAAAAAUCAAUAUUUCCUCUCCCGUUUUAUUUUACAAAAAUAAUUAACAUGAAUUGCAGGAGAUAAAAUGAUUAUCAGAUUUUAUAACAAGUAGUACGUGGGGUACUAGAGAAGUGAAAUGUCAGUAUGAGAUGGAUGAAUACAAUUGUAUUGGAAAGUAAAUAUAGCACAUACUCCAACACUAUUUAACGGAUAAUUUUGAAAAAUAAAAAUUAAUCUACUCUUGAAAUCUGAAAAAAGAAUAUUAUGGACUACAAAAAGGGCCAAAAAAAACAGAUAAAGUGGACGCAGGGAGUAAUAUGAUAAAUCUUUUCUCUCGUUAAAUUAAACAAUAUAUUUACCUUUUUAUCGAUUUUACUUUUUUUUUAUGUAUACUUUUUUCAUGUUUCUCGCAAUUUUACUUUCUAAUUUAAUCCAGAUUCCCUAAACUAGCUAUUCCUUUUGCACAAUCAUACAUCAAAAAGCAAGUUCAUUUGUGUCUCUUUUUUUAACUAAGAAAUUUUCGAGGCAAGUGACACCAUGCUAAAAAAAAAACUCGAUGAGUGAUGCGCUCACCCCUUUAUUAUUUUCACUUAAUACCAUAUUUUUAAUAGAGAAGAAUUUAAUAUAAUGACGUGAGCCUAUCCAACACAUUGUGCGUAUGUGUAUACGUUGCGCUCUCACUUUAAGCCAUUUUAUAGUUUAUUAUUCUAUGAAUUUUAUGAAAAAAGUUUAAGUGUCUUUUGAUAUAUUUUAAUUUUAGCCACCAAUUUCAUUGAGACCGUUGUCACACGAACAUAUUAUUUAACAAAUUUCAUUCGCAUUUAUUAACUGAAUGGCACAUUUGUUGUCUUUAGUGUUCUUAUCUUAAUUGAAACUCUAUAAAAUUAAAUUGAGAAUAUCAAGAAUGGAUGGCAGCUCAAGAGAGAGCCAAAAAGAUUAAAUUUAUAGAAAAAUAAAAAGUAUAAAAAAUUAUAAAAAAGAAAGAAAAAAGAGAUUGUCUAUUCCUUGACAGUAAAAUUAAUUAGAACCUUGAAUCAGAUUAUUUAUAUUUUCAUAUUGGUAAAUAUAAUUUUUUAUAACAAUAUCAAAAGAAUUAUAUUAUAAAUACAUGACUAAUAUUUUAUUUAUUCAAAUUAUCAUUUACUAAUAUCAAAUAUUAUUACUAUGUAAAGUUAAAGAUUUUAUAUUAUUUAAGAAUAUUAUAUUAUAUUAUAACAACAAGUACGAAAAAUUGAUAAUAAUAGUUUUUUUUAUAUAAACAGUAUACUUUCAUUUCAUCAAAAAAAACAUUACAGAAUCCAGUAGCUGCUGACCAUCUACCGGUCUCUACCAGUCUAAAGAGACUCACUCCCGUAAGCUAUACAUACAUCAAUACAAAACAUAUUACUUAAACUCAAACUAUUUACUUCAAUUCCAUAUCUAAGGGUAGUGAUCCAGCCUUCGCAAAACAUCCUUCCAGUGUUUAAUUGAGGUCCCCUAUAUAUGUAUGUGAACUGUUAUCUCGUUGCAUAUAUUAUUGAUAUUGAUUCUUCCUCCUUGGAACCUAAUCUUGUUUCUUUCUCUCCAUAGAAUGUAUAUUAUCAUCCCAAACACGUUGGCGGUUAGUUCAGCAUGUCUUUUUCUCCUUCUUGCAAUUUUGUUGACCCAUUCUACUUCACUGUUCCAGUCACAAAUGGACCUCUGGUGUCCCAGCCAUAUUACCAGUCUAUUCCAUAGCUCCAAAGAUGUCGGGCAAGCAAAAAAUAGAUGGUCAAAAGAUUCAUCGUCACAAAUGGACCUCUGGUAUCCCAGCCAUAUUAGCAGUCUAUUCCAUAGUUCCAAAUAUGUCGGGCAAGAAAAAAAUAAAUAGUCAAAAGAUUUAUCUACUUGCCUGCAAAAUACACACUGUUUUGGAAUCUGCAUUCCAAGUUACAUUAGCCUCUCCACUGUUGCCAGUCUUCUGUGCAAUGCUAGCCAUAGGAUAAAUUUGAAUCGGGUGUAGUUUUGUCUCUAGAAUAAUACUUUUCUGGUGUACUUUUUGGAAUUGAGGGAGCUGCAUUCUGUAGAGUUCUUUUAUGCUAAAUAGUUCACCCCUCUGUAGCUGGAUCAAUCUACAUUUCAGAUUGCCCUGUAUACCCUGCAUAUUUGUUAUCAAUGAUCUUGUCUCAAAGAUCUUCCUCACAGCCCAGGCAGCAUUACUAGGAGUAGGCACAUCAUCUACAGCAUUAUUCUUUAUGUAAUAUGUGUGCAAAAAACUAAUAAUAAUUUUUUUGCAUAUGUAUAUAUCAAUUCUAGAAUAAAAAAGUAUAAGGUAUUUUAAUAAAAUUUAGCUUUAGAUCACUAAUUUUAUUGAAUCGUCAUUAGAACGAGGUCGGAGGUCUUGGAAGUUGAGGUUCGACCGGAGCACGUAGGCAGAGCCGAUAUUUUUGAAUAAAGAGUCAAAUAAUAAACCCUAAGAGCACCUCAUGUUUUGCCUUGUAUUGUACCUUAUAAUUAAGUUACUAUUAUCACUUUGUCAUUUAAAAAAAUCAUUUUACUCCUUCAAAUUUACUUAAAAAUCAAAUUAACCUGCAAACUUUAAAUAAUUUUGUCCCUUCUAUCUGGUUAAUUUUGUAAAUAAUAUUUUAUUUCUCAUCAACAUUUAUCUCUUUAUUCUUACUUUUAAUAUCUCUUCUGUAAUGAAGAUUUUAACUAUUUUUGUGCAGCAACAAAGCUAGCUUGGAGAAAGGAAAUUCAAGAAUAUAAAAUUAUUCUAUUUAUAUAUGUAAUAAUCAAUUUUUAGGUUAUGCAUUUAUUGAAUUUCUUUGACACGAGAAAUACUUUAAUCCCAAUAUAUAUUGAGACCGUUAUUUACUUGAUUUAAGGGCCACUGGAUAAGCCAGAGCUCGGUUGAGUCUGCUGAGUUCAGAUUAAUAAGUGAAUCCUUUUUUACCUCCUCAAAUUCUGGGGCAGGUUUGUAGCUAAGUUCUUUCGGAGGAUCCAUAAUAAUGAAAUAUAAUCAAUAAGAGCGUU
rnacentral:lncRNA from 1 species